rnacentral:SRP_RNA from 1 species
GGUUUUUCUCGUUGCUGACUGCGCACUCGCUUGCCAUCAAGACUGGCUGGCACGUGCCUCGGCUGCUCUCGCCGGUCUUGACCGUCUACCACUUCAAGUGGACUUCCAACGUGAUGGACCGGAUGAUGAACCGAAUCUACGGGCACAAGAU